CCUACGGGGAGCAGCAGUGGGGAAUAUUGCACAAUGGGGGAAACCCUGAUGCAGCGACGCCGCGUGGGCGAAGAAGUAUUUCGGUAUGUAAAGCCCUAUCAGCAGGGAAGAAGAAAUGACGGUACCUGAGUAAGAAGCACCGGCUAAAUACGUGCCAGCAGCCGCGGUAAUACGUAUGGUGCAAGCGUUAUCCGGAUUUACUGGGUGUAAAGGGAGCGCAGGGGGCACGGCAAGCCUGAUGUGAAAGCCCGCGGCCCAACCGCGGGACUGCCGUGGGAACCACCGGGCUGGAGGGCCGGAGAGGUAGGCGGAAUGCGUAGUGUAGCGGUGAAAUGCGUAGAUAUUGGGAGGAACACCAGUGGCGAAGGCGGCCUACUGGAGGGUGACUGACGCUGAGGCUCGAAAGCGUGGGGAGCAAACAGGAUUAGAUACCCUGGUAGUC
rnacentral:rRNA from 1 species